AUGAAGGAUAAACAAUCUGAUAUUGAUGCCAAUGAUCUUGUUGAGUUGAAGUUUCUUCAAAAUUUCAUGCCAAAAGAAAAUAUCGGACCUUUUGAAAUUUUGAAUUUUUUAAAGCGGCAUGAUUGUUUUCCCAAAGCAAGUAUUGCAUAUAGAGUUCUGUUAACCAUUGCGGUGACAGAUGCAUUGGCAGAAAGAAGUUUUUCUUUGAAGCUAUUGAAGUCCUAUAUCCGUACUACUAUGACACAACAAAGACUCAAUGAUUUGACCACAAUAACACUUGAGAGUGAAUUAUUGGAGAAGAUUGAUUACAAGGAUAUCUUUGAAGAUAUCAUUUCAGAGAAUACUACAAGAACAAGGAUAUCUUUGACCACAAUAACACUUGGGAGUUGGAUAGGUAUGCCUUUUUUAUAUGUUCAGUUGUUAUGCAAGACAUUAUAUUAUAUACAUUAUAAUUUUUUUUCAUGA
rnacentral:rRNA from 1 species